UUUUUCUUAACCCACAAUGAAUGUGAUGAGGUUCUGAUGAAGAAAUCAGAACACUCCAAAUGUAGCUGACUUACAAAGAAAUGUUGGCACCAUUUAACAACAGCGUAUGAAGUUCCUUUUUACUUCUGAAACCAGUCAUUGUGAAGUGUGAUUUUUCGUAAUAUUUUUUAUCCAUUAAAUCAAAUCUUUUCUGCUGUUUAAUUUCGUAGCCCCGUGACCCCAAAAGGGACAAAAACUGAUUUAGAAAGCGAAUAAACGAAAAUUUUCCUAUAGUUAUGACUCAAAACAUUUUUUCUUAAAACUGACAACGAAGCUUUACAGAACAGAAAAUCAUUUCUGUGGAUGUCAGCUGGUUCCUAAAAUCUACCUUUUUUUAUUUCAGACUUUCAAAAGCCGACACAUCAAAAUUCUGAGCUGCAGAGUGAGCCAGAGAGUGACCUGACAUAUGCUGCGGUUAACUAUUCCAAAUCCAAGGCUUCCUCUAAGAUUACAAUAAAUGCGGAA